CCAGUUUUCAGUUCUCUCUCUGGGGUAAUUUUUCCAAGAAUAGUUGUAACCUGGUUGUGUUUGUGGGAGGAGGUGGGUUCAGAUUCUGCCUAUGACAGCAUCUUGAAGAGAUCCAGUCUAAGUUUUGAUAAAUAGAUAAAUGGAACAAAACCGGAAGGCCAGAAAUAGGCCCACACAAAUAUGGUCAAUUGAUACUCAAGAAAGGCACCAAGGUAAUUCAAUGGGGAAAAGAUGGUCUUUUUACCAAAUGGUGCUGGUACAAUUAGAUAUCUAUAUGGAAAAAAAUAAACCUCAGUACUUCCCUCAUAUAAUACACUAAAAUUAACACAAAACGGACCAUCGACUGAAAAGUAAAAAUUAAAACCAUAAAACUUCUAGGAGAAAACAGAAAAUUUUUGUGAUCUCACUAUAGGCAAAAAUUUGACAGGUAACAUAAAGCUAUACCUAUAAAAAAUAUUGAUGAUUUAGACUUCAUAAAAAUUAAAAAUGUUUACUCUUCACAGGACUCUUAAGAAUAGGGAAAGGCAAGGCACAGUCUAGGAAAAUAUACUAAUAAUACAUAUAUCUGGCAAAAGACCCACAUAGAGCAUAUAUAAAGAACCUUGUAACUCAGUAAUUAGAAGACAGCCCAAUUUUAUAAAGGUAAGGAAGCAAGUUAAACAUUCAACAAAAGAAUAUAUACGAUGACCAAUAAACACAUGAAAAGAUGCUCAACAUUAUUAGUUAAGAGGAAAAUGCAAGUUAAAAUCAUCAUGAGCCCCUACUACACACCCACCAGAAUUGAUAAAAUUAAAAAGAAUGUCAACACCAAAUAUUAACAGAUAUGGCUCGACUAGAACUCUCAUUGAUUGCUGUGGGAAUAUAAAAUGGUAUGACCAUUUUAGAAAAUACUUAGGCUGCUUUUUAUAAAGUUAAACAUCUACUUACCCUAAGACCCACAGCAGUCUGCUUCUAGGUAUUUACCAAGAUAAAUGAGAACGUUUGUACACACUUAUACACAUAUGUUCAUGGCAAACUUAUUCAUACUAAUUAAAAACUGGAAACAAUCCAAAUGUCCAUCAACAGGAGAAUGGGUAAAUAAAUUGGGGUAUAUUCCUACAAAGGAAUAGUACUCAUGAGAAAAAAUGAUUGAACUACUAAUAGAUGCAACAACAUGAAUAGAUCUCAAAAAUGUUAUGUUAAACAAAAAACACUUGAACAUGGGCACAAAAGAGAACAUUCUGUAUAAUUUCGUUUAUAUGAAAUUCUAAGAAAGUCAAAUUGACAAUAGUGAUAGCAGAUCAGUGGUUGCCUGGGCCACAAGAGGCCCUUUGGGAGGUGAUGGAAAUGUUACACAUCUUUGAUUGUGAUUGUGGCUGCCUGUGUGUAUACAUUUUCAAAACUCACUGAACUGAUUAAACGGGUGCAUUUUAUUGAGUGUAAAUCAUACCUCAAUACAGUUGUUUUUUAAAAAUUCCUGUUUUCCUGUUUGAACCUUGAAACAUGUUUUCGAAUUUCUUUUAUUAGAGAACAUUUAGAAGUGCUAAAAGAAACAAGGGUUUGUGUAUUAUCAGAAAUAUCUAAAACAGACACAAGAUGGCAAUGGUACUUCAAAAAGCAUAUGUGUAUUCCUCUCCCCAUCCCCCUCCCCCUCCCCCUCCCUCUCCCCCUCCCUCUCCCUCUCCCAGGUUCACCUGACAGCCUUUCAUCCUUCAGGGCAGUUAUUGUCCUUUUCCAGAUGCUUUCAGGACUCUUGUCUAAUAUACUUGAUUGUUGUCUACAGUCAGUAACUAUGCCACAGAUACUUUAAACAUCUCAAAAGCUUUUUAAGUUUUUCUUUUUAAGCUUUUUUUUCCUAUUGUUAGCAAAAGUCAAAAUGGUAAAUAGUUCACAAUCAGUAAGAUAUUUUGUUAUUAGGGAGAUUAGGGAGAUAUGUCUAUUAGAACUUGUUACUCGCCAAUGGAGCUGAGAAAUGUGCCUUACCUCUGGAAAUCGUGUUUUACAUUUCCAUAUAGUCCUUUGGUUUGUAUUUCACAGUCACCGUUAGAGGGCAGUGCAGAAGCAGAAAUGCGAUCACAGGCGACUGCGACGUGGGAAAUGCAGUGGGAUUGUUUGGUUGUCGGUCCAGGAACACUUUUUAGUGUAGGAACCAACUAGGUUUUCCAAAAAGGAGACUAUAAGCAGAUUAUUAGUGAACACCAAGAAGCAUUCAUUCUAUCUAAAGUAAAGAAUGAAAAGGAAAAGAAUACAUUUCUUGAAACUAUCUGAUUCAGAAUUUUCUGUUUAGAACGUUGUCAGUAAUAAGGUAGUUCCUAUCAUGGAACUUUCCUGAAGCUAACUCUAACCUCUGGACUCCACAUAUAAAACAACCACGUGAGGACCCAGUGGAGAGAAGCGAGCAGGCCGAUUCUGGAGGGCAGCGAAAGUCCUUUCCAGAGGGCAGUGAAGUCCAUUCGGGAGGGCAGAGAAAGUCAGGGGAGAGAAGGGGCUGGGUGAGGGCCCUGGUGAUGACUUUCACCCUGAGGGCAGACCGAAAUCUGGGCCGCGGGGAUGGGGAAAGCUCAGACAGGAACCUGACCGUACUGCUCGGAGGAUCAGGGGAAAGAGUGGGGAGGCCGCAGUCCUUGGAACACGAGGGAGGUGACGAGGCUCCCGGCGCGGGCGUCCCUCGGCUUGGCGCCCGGUGCUGAAGGGGUGGCGCUGCGGGCCGGCGGGGGCUAGCGCCGACCCCCGGCGGUAGUCCACAGGCUCCUCGGUAACAUGUGGAAGCUUUGGUCUGUUCUUCAGACGCCAGGGGAAACUGGCCAUUCCCCGGCCCUCUUUCGGAGGCCUGGCAGAGAGCAGUUUUCCUCUGAAGCAUUUCCCCUGGGAGGCCCCCAGUGCUGUCGCUAAGUGAUGUGAGGAUGCAUGCACUUCUCUUUGGGGCCAAAGGCACUCAUGGUGCGCAUGCUGUCUCACACAGCGGUUCUCCCUCUGCCAAGACACCUAUUGGGCACCUAUUAAGGCAGUGUUCCUGCUCUCAAGGACCAGAGUCAGCGCUUUGCAGACUGACUCUUCUUUUCAAACCGUCACAGAUGGAUGUGAAUUUUCUUCUUGAAGAUAUUCUAAACCAGGAAAGCGAUGCUCUAAUAUUUUUCUCAAGAUACUUUUAUUGAAUGGAAUAUUUUCUGUUGUAUUUGAAGCCACUUGUCCUUCCUCAAUUCUGUGUAAGCACUGAAAAGUACUAAUUAGGAUAUCCCUGUUCGAUUUGUCCAUUUGUUAAUAGACUCUGAUGUGUGUUUUGUGGAUAAAGAUGAGAGUAACAUCAACAAUAAUAAUUUUGUCAGUACUCUGUCAUAUGAGUGAAUCAUGUUCCCCAACAGUGGUGCGCACAGCAGGUCAGUGUAUGAUUGACUGGCCUCCAUACCUUUUCUUCGUUAGCUUUGUUUAGUCAUGCCGUCUCCACCUUGCAUUGAUAUUUUUGAGAUUUUGAUUGUAAGGGGCAUUUCCUUCUACAUACCCUCUACAGAUGUUAUAGUACAUUUUCUAGCACCUUUAUUAUGGUGGUCUAGUGGUUAAAAUCUGGUGCUCUCACCGCCAUGGCCCAGUUGUCAUACUGUAGCAACUAUGUUGCUGUGAGGCUGAAAGUUAUGCCACUGGUGUUUCAUAUACCAGCAGGGUCAUCUUUCAGCAGAGUGUCCAGACUAAGACAGACUAGGAAGAAGGAACUGGCAACCCAUUUCUGAAAAAACUGCCCAAGAAAACCCUAUGAAUAGCAGCCAAGCAUUGUGUGAUAUAGCAUGGAAUGGUGAGAGGAUGGUGCAAAAAGACAGGCAGGAUUCCACUCUGCUAUACACAGUGUCACUAGGAGUCAGAAUUGACUCCACGACACUAACAACAAAAACCUUUAUUAUAAUUUUCCACGGCCGUAGAAACACUGAUUUAUAUCUUUUAAAGCAGUGGCAAACCUACUUCUUGGAUGUUUCUUUUUAAAAUGUAAAUUAAGAAUUUGAUUCAAUAAUCAAUUAAUAUGCAAAUGCUUAUGGAUAUUCUGCUAUAUACAAGGCAACAUGUUCUUGAAAUAAUAAAAUAUUGAAAAAUGUUAAGUGCACCAUAUAAA